GAGAGAGAUGCCGCUCCUCCCGCCGCGGGUGUGUGCAUGUGGAGGUGGACGGGCGGCGAGAGCGCGCGGGGCGCGCCGCCGCGCUACAGCGGGACCGCGCCGCCAGGUGCCGGGGCCGCGGAACCCCCCGGGCCGCCCCUCGAAGCGGGGCUGUGCGCUGCCCCCCGGCCCCGCACCCCCUCCCCGUCGGGCACGCACACGCCGUACCGUGCUGUUCCAGCACCGUCGCAGCCACCACGUUUCUGACUCUUUUUUUUUAUGACAAAAAUGGUUUUUCUUUAUGUUUGCUUUCUCUUAACUCUGGGGCUCGCCCAAAGGAGAGCCUGUUCUGGCAAGGAGAGCAGAUUUUGGUGGAUCUGUUCCCCGAAAUGGCCACGGAAGAUCUGGCAUCAUCAUUGCCGAUUUCCUGUUUUGUUAUGCAAAAUGUAUAGAGUGGAAAUGCAGCAGUUGGUGCCAGAGGUCAAAGCAUUCUCAACGGGGGAAAGCCAUGGUUUUCAGAUAUAAGAGGGGGAUUUACUGCACAGAUGAUUUACUGUAACUUCUUGUUUCCGGAGUUAUCUCUAUAAAGUACUGUAGAAGCUUUCCAGCAUGGAAAAAAAUCCACCAACUUUAAAGAACAAGCCUGAAGCAAGAUGGCUUUGCGGCUGACAAGAGAGAUCGCAGGCCCUGGUUCUACUCUGCAGCACAUGGCCUGUACAGGAUGUACCAGGGCAAAGAGGAGAAGGAUGUCAAGAAUGUGCCACGACCUGCAGCCUCCGAAUGUUCUUCAGAUUAUAUUUCCGCUGCCUAAAAUGCAUCAGCAGCCAUGCUCAUUUCCAGAACAACUCUCUGAAGUACGAUGUCCUUUCCAGAGCCUGGAUAAUUCCCCUCUGAGCUGUCCUCCAGCACUGUAGGCUUACUCACUAACUUAAACUUAAUAGAAACCGCAGGUAUGCAACGAAGAGCACUGCGUUUGUAAUGAAGGUGAAUUUAAGUCAAAAUACAUGAAGCAUUUCCUUGCUUGAUUGCGUUAUCACACAUGGCUUGCUUCUCCAUGCACAGCUUAUGAAUGCUGUGUGAUUUGGGUUGCAUUUUAAAGUGAGAUUUUGUUUGCUUCUCUGCUUUCCUUUGCUCCUGCACUGCAAUGAUGCCUGCAAGAACAGGGGGGGGAGGGUAGGAGGAGUCAUGAGAGUGCCUACAGAAUUCUUUUUAUUUUAGUGCAUCCAUCACUUGCAUGCUUUAACUUACGUAUUAGUGCAUGUGUGAAAGAAGGGAAUAAAAGAGACAGGAUCAGAAGCA
rnacentral:lncRNA from 1 species